GCUGUGAUAUAGCAGGACAGCAGAAACUUGCAGAAACAACUGGUUUUGUUAAAGCUGAAAAGGAAUGGUUUUUUUCUCUCCUUUCUUGUAAAAGUGCUCACCUCGGUAGCAAUCACAUAUGGUCCACUGGACUUCAUCUUCUUGCCUGCAUCAUCACAUGAAGUGGCGUUAGAACUGGCCGGAUCUUUCCUCCAAAGAGAGGAGAAAACAAAGGGGAAGGAUGAGUGUAAGUGGCUCUUCUUAUCAGCAAAGAAGAGGAUUUGUUUUCACAGGCUAAACUGCUAAUGCUGAGUGACAUAAGGAAAGAGCUUGCAGGUGCAGGAACGCUGGAACAGAGAAGCAGGAUUUGCCCAGAGCAAUGAGGAAACACCGUAAGAAUCAGAAUUUGUGUUUAAUCUGACUGCCUUUGGGCUGCCAGCCUCUAUCUGAAACAUUAUGUGUGGCACAAGAAAUGUUUCAGUGAUCAUUUUAAACUGUUUUUUUCAGUCAUGAAUUUGUUCCCCUCAGAGCAGGUGGACAUUAAUAAGGAGAAUAUGGAUGUGGAGAUGAAAUGUUAAUGUGAACAGUAUUCCCACAUCAGCACUCUCUUGGGUCUCACAGGCGUUGUCAUGGUCUCAGAGUGCUUUCCUAAAGGAUGCUGUGCAAGCUACUGUGUGUCAGGAUAACACCCUUGUGCCAUUUAAGAAGAUUGGUUGCUGUCUCUCCAGCUUCAUUGGUGGUAGGAAAGGCAGUGAAAUAGGAGGAAAAAUUCGAUGAGCCUUGCUAUUCCUAAAGCUGUGGCUUGAAAGUACAGAAAAAUCUGUUUCACAGCUUUUUUUCCCAGGCAGUUUGAUUGGUUUUAUUGCAUACACGAUCUUCCUACUUUGUGUAGAAAGGAAAAUGUACAGUGGAAGAGGAAAUAUCUUAAAAAUUAGACAAACCCUACACACAGCCCAGGGGGCAAUCACAAAAUGUUUGCCAAGCUUUGUUGGUGCAGAGAGGUGUAUUCAAAAGAUACCUGGGUCUGCAUACAUGGGUUUGCACAGCAAAACAUGGGCACUUCUGAUUAGAGGUGAGAUCCUGGCAUGGGGCAAGGCAGUGGGAUUUUUGCCAGUGAUUUUAAUCAGAGCCAGAAUUUCACUCUUUGUCUACAAUCUUGUGUAAUCUCCCUUUGAAGUCACAUGAAUUUUUAACCAAUGUCUUGUAUAACACCAAAACAAUGCACUGCCCACCCAAUAUUUUCUGUUUUCCUAAACUGAAUGCUCCAAGUAUGUUUUCAAAAAACAGAGAUGAUACUGAAUUAAGAUUAGGAUUCUUCCCCCCUAUUUUGAAACAUGGAGUGUUUAUACAGCCA